UGGGAAGUGGAGUCCCGACCCUGGCUCCGCGGGCCUGGGAAGCGCGCGGCUCCGCUCCUCGCCUCUCGGCUGAGGGCCCUCGGCGCCGCCGCCUGCUCCGCGCGCUCUCGCCUCCCUCCCCACUGCAGCCCGGUCGUUCCCACGCGAGAGGCAGGCACCCCGAGGACAGGCCACAGCCCUUGCUGCUCCAUCUCUUCAUUCUCUCUGGACCUUAACCUGGCCUGUUCAUCCUUUAGUACGCAGGCCUCUCCCUGCUGUGGCCCCUCCCGUUGCGGAGCACAGGCUCCGGACGCACAGGCUCAGCGGCCAUGGCUCACGGGCCUAGCCGCUCCGCGGCAUGUGGGAUCUUCCCGGACCGGGGCACAAACCCGUGUCCCCUGCAUCGGCAGGCGGACUCUCAACUACUGCGCCACCAGGGAAGCCCUUAUUAUGUAUUUAUUGACAAAUGGGGAUGUAUCUAAUAUACAGUAAGUCCCCUACAUACGAACCUUCCAGUUGCGAACUUUCAAAGAUGCGAACCUACGUUCGCAUGUCCAAUCACGUUAGUUCAUGUGUCUAGUGUACAUUGUCAUGUGCAUGCAUCCUCUACAAGUGGUUGUGCUUUUGUAUACUUUACUGUACAGUACUGUAUAGAAUACAGUAACAGUGUCUUUAUUUCAAGCCCAGGAUGUACAGAAGCAAGCAUAAAAGCAGCAGUGAUGUAGCUUGUACUACUGUAUUUUUCAAGGUACUGUACUAUAAUAUUAAAAACUUCUACUUUUUGUGUUUGCUUUUUAUGUAUUUGUGUGAAAAGUAUUACAGUACAGUACUAUAUAGACAAUUGUGUUAGUUGGGUACCUAGGCUUUGUUGGACUUAACGAACAAGUUGGACUUACGAACGCGCUCUCAGAAUGGAACUCAUUUGUAUGUAGGGGACUUACUGUACUGUGAUUUUUGAAUACAAUUAUAAAAUAUCAGAGUAUAACCAUGUUUUUAUUGAAAUAUAUAUUGUAAAUAUGUGUGUUUGUGUGUGCAUUGAAAUAUCCUGGAAAAUUA